rnacentral:Y_RNA from 1 species
GGUUGGUCUGAGUGCAGUGGUGUUUACACUAAUUGAUCACAACCAGUUACAGAUUCCUUUGUUCCUUCUCCACUCCCACUGCUUCACUUGACCAGAAAA